CAAUAGCGUAUAUUUAAGUUGUUGCAGUUAAAAAGCUCGUAGUUGGAUUUCGGUUGAGAACGGCCGGUCCGCCGUUUGGUGCGCACUGGCUGGUUUCAACUUCCUGUAGAGGACGCGCUCUGGCUUCACGGCUGGACGCGGAGUCUACGUGGUUACUUUGAAAAAAUUAGAGUGUUCAAAGCGGGCUUACGCUUGAAUAUUUCAGCAUGGAAUAACACUAUAGGACUCCUGUCCUAUUUCGUUGGUCUCGGGACGGGAGUAAUGAUUAAGAGGAACAGUUGGGGGCAUUCGUAUUUCAUUGUCAGAGGUGAAAUUCUUGGAUUUAUGAAAGACGAACUUCUGCGAAAGCAUUUGCCAAGGAUGUUUUCAUUAA
rnacentral:rRNA from 1 species